rnacentral:rRNA from 1 species
GAUCCUGGCUCAGAAUCAACGCUGGCGGCGUGCCUCAGACAUGCAAGUCGAACGAUUAAACUUUCCUUCGGGAAAGAUAUAAAGUGGCGCACGGGUGAGUAACACGUAGGUAAUGUACCUUUGGGUGGGGAAUAACUUAGGGAAACUUAAGCUAAUACCGCAUAAUGCGAUAGCGUCUAUGACGCAUUUGUUAAAGAUUUAUCGCCUAAAGAGCAGCCUGCGGCAGAUUAGCUAGUUGGUAAGGUAACGGCUUACCAAGGCUACGAUCUGUAUCCGACCUGAGAGGGUGGUCGGACACACUGACACUGAAUAACGGGUCAGACUCCUACGGGAGGCAGCAGUCGGGAAUUUUGGGCAAUGGGCGAAAGCCUGACCCAGCAACGCCGCGUGAAGGAUGAAGUCUUUCGGGAUGUAAACUUCGUAAGAAUAGGAAGAAUAAAUGACGGUACUAUUUGUAAGGUCCGGCUAACUACGUGCCAGCAGCCGCGGUAAUACGUAGGGACCAAGCGUUGUUCGGAUUUACUGGGCGUAAAGGGCGCGUAGGCGGCGUGUCAAGUCAAUUGUGAAAUCUCCGAGCUUAACUCGGAACGGUCAAUUGAUACUGAUGUGCUAGAGUGCAGAAGGGGCAAUCGGAAUUCUUGGUGUAGCGGUGAAAUGCGUAGAUAUCAAGAGGAACACCUGAGGUGAAGA